rnacentral:rRNA from 1 species
GACCUACGGGAGGCAGCAGUAGGGAAUUUUCGUCAAUGGGGGAAACCCUGAACGAGCAAUGCCGCGUGAGUGAAGAAGGCCUUCGGGUCGUAAAGCCCUGUUGUAAGAGAAAAACGGUAAUGAUAGGAAAUGAUCAUUAAGUGAUGGUAUCUUACGAGGAAGCCACGGCUAACUACGUGCCAGCAGCCGCGGUAAUACGUAGGUGGCAAGCGUUAUCCGGAAUGAUUGGGCGUAAAGGGUGCGCAGGCGGAGGCACAAGUCAGCGGUAAAAUCGCGGGGCUCAACCCCGCUCCGCCGUUGAAACU